AAAGAAGGGGCCCAUGCUUCAAGUAUGCCUCACCCCCACCUAUUGAAAACAACUAAAAUAGGCAAAAGGGCAUGUCCCUUUGCCGAAGACUACGGCAU
rnacentral:rRNA from 1 species